rnacentral:rRNA from 1 species
UACGGAGGGUGCAAGCGUUAUCCGGAUUCACUGGGUUUAAAGGGUGCGUAGGUGGGCUGGUAAGUCAGUGGUGAAAUCUCCGAGCUUAACUUGGAAACUGCCAUUGAUACUAUCAGUCUUGAAUAUUGUGGAGGUCAGCGGAAUAUGUCAUGUAGCGGUGAAAUGCUUAGAGAUGACAUAGAGCACCAAUUGCGAAGGCAGCUGACUACGCAUAUAUUGACACUGAGGCACGAAAGCGUGGGGAUCAAACAGG